rnacentral:rRNA from 1 species
UACAGAGGGUGCGAGCGUUGUUCGGAAUUAUUGGGCGUAAAGCGCUUGUAGGCGGCUUGUUAAGUCGCGUGUGAAAUCCCCAGGCUCAACCUGGGAAGUGCGCGCGAAACUGGGCGAGCUUUUGAAAAUGCCGGAGAGGGUCGCGGAAAUUUUCCCGGUGUAGAGGUGAAAUUUCGUAGAUAUCGGGAGGGAAACACCGAGUGGGCGAA